GCUGUGGUGGCUCAAUCGGAUAGAUCGUUGGACUUCUAAUCCAAAGGAUGCGGGUUCAAGUCCCGCCCAGAGUA